AGUGAACGCUGGCGGUAGGCCUAACACAUGCAAGUCGAACGGCAGCACAGUAAGAGCUUGCUCUUACGGGUGGCGAGUGGCGGACGGGUGAGGAAUACAUCGGAAUCUACUUUUUCGUGGGGGAUAACGUAGGGAAACUUACGCUAAUACCGCAUACGACCUACGGGUGAAAGCAGGGGAUCUUCGGACCUUGCGCGAUUGAAUGAGCCGAUGUCGGAUUAGCUAGUUGGCGGGGUAAAGGCCCACCAAGGCGACGAUCCGUAGCUGGUCUGAGAGGAUGAGCAGCCACACUGGAACUGAGACGCGGUCCAGACUCCUACGGGAGGCAGCAGAGGGGAAUAUUGGACAAUGGGCGCAAGCCUGAUCCAGCCAUACCGCGUGGGUGAAGAAAGCCUUCGGGUUGUAAAGCCCUUUUGUUGGGAAAGAAAAGCAGCAGGUUAAUACCCCGCUGUUCUGACGGUACCUAAAGAAUAAGCACCGGCUAACUUCGUG
rnacentral:rRNA from 1 species